UACGUAGGGGGCAAGCGUUGUCCGGAAUCAUUGGGCGUAAAGCGCGUGUAGGCGGCUCGAUAAGUCUGCUGUGAAAGUUCAGGGCUCAACCCUGAAAUGCCGGUGGAAACUGUCGAGCUAGAGUCCGGAAGAGGCGAGUGGAAUUCCUGGUGUAGCGGUGAAAUGCGCAGAUAUCAGAAGGAACACCAAUGGCGAAGGCAGCUCGCUGGGACGGUACUGACGCUGAGACGCGAAAGCGUGGGGAGCAAACAGG
rnacentral:rRNA from 1 species